UCCGGUUUGUCACCGGCAGUCUCCUAUGAGUCCCCAACUAAAUGCUGGCAACAUAGGACGGGGGUUGCGCUCGUUGCGGGACUUAACCCAACAUCUCACGACACGAGCUGACGACAGCCAUGCAGCACCUGUCUCCGGUCCAGCCGAACUGAAGAACUCCGUCUCUGGAGUCCGCGACCGGGAUGUCAAGGGCUGGUAAGGUUCUGCGCGUUGCGUCGAAUUAAACCACAUGCUCCACCGCUUGUACGGGCCCCCGUCAAUUCCUUUGAGUUUUAAUCUUGCGACCGUACCCCCCAGGCGGGAUGCUUAAUGCGUUAGCUGCGCCACUGACGAGUAAACCCGCCAACGGCUAGCAUCCAUCGUUUACGGCGUGGACUAC
rnacentral:misc_RNA from 1 species